CGGGGGGCGAAGCGUUGUUCGGAAUUACUGGGCGUAAAGGGCUCGUAGGUGGCCAACUAAGUCGGACGUGAAAUCCCUCGGCUUAACCGGGGAACUGCGUCCGAUACUGGUUGGCUUGAGUUUGGGAGAGGGAGUGCGGAAUUCCAGGUGUAGCGGUGAAAUGCGUAGAUAUCUGGAGGAACACCGGUGGCGAAGGCGGCAUCCUGGACCAAUACUGACGCUGAGGAGCGAAAGCCAGGGGAGCAAACGGGAUUAGAUACCCCGGUAGUCCUGGCCCUAAACGAUGAAUGCUUGGUGUGGCGGGUAUCGAUCCCUGCCGUGCCGAAGCUAACGCAUUAAGCAUUCCGCCUGGGGAGUACGGUCGCAAGGCUG
rnacentral:rRNA from 1 species